GAUGUGAAUAUGAAGACAAUAAAAAUAAUAUAAUAAAAAAGUUACCGGAUUAUAAAAAAAAAUACUAUGAAUAUCAGAUAAAUAUUAUGGAGGAAGUUAAGAAAAAUAAUAAAGUGUUUCGAGAUCACAAAACAUGGUGUGCUGAAACUAAAGGAUUUACGAAUCCUUGGGACUAGCAGAAGACAUAGAUGAACAGUGGAGCCGGGAGUGUUUCAAGUACCUAGAUGGAAGGUAGAACCGAGUAUUUCUGAUAUUGUGAAAAAAAAAAACAGGCAACUAUUUUUUUUACACAAUACCAGAAGUACUAUGUAGUAUUAUGGUCCAUGUGUAAAUAUUUAGGAUAUUAUUUAGAAUACCAACGAUUUUUGAAAUAUACUCAUUAGCUAACCGUAGAUGAAUGUUAAGCAUUAAGCAAUACUUUCCUAAUAGAUCCUUUAUCUAAUGCUAUAAAUUAUUAUCCUGCUAAAUUAUUUCUUAUAAACUUUAAAUUUCCAAAAUAGUCUAUCCGGACACAUAUUUCCUUUUCAUUUUCUCCAAUACAAAAGCUAUUAUAUUAAAAACCAAGUAGCCGAGGUGACAUUGAAGAUCACCUCUCUUUCUUUUCCAAUAAUUUUUCUCUUUGCUUAGAUAACUUAAUGAUAUUGUUUGUUAUAAUUUAGCAUUAUAUUACCUUUGUUAUUAUCUCUACUACCUAGUGCUAUAAUCAAAUACCUACUAUGUAUUCAAGGGGCAUUGCCCGUAAAUUGUUUGUAAAAUAAUAAAAAUAUUGAUACAUAAUACAAUAACAAGAUUAUAUUAUAUAGAUUUAUAAUUAUUAUACUUAUAAUUAAUCUUCAUUUUAUGUAAUAAAAUUAGGUAUGGUAUAGAUAAUCGAUUAUAAUCACAGUUGCUUAAAAUUUAAAUAUCUAUUUGAUUAUUGUGAAUAAAAUUGUUUUAUCCAACAA